GGAGGGACUGUGGCUCUUCAGCAGAGCAUCUGCUUGGGAUGCAAAAGGCCUUGGGUUCAAUCCCUGGCAUCUCCA
rnacentral:tRNA from 1 species